UACGGGGGGGACUAACGUUAUUCAUCAUAACUGGGCGUAAAGGGUACGUAGGCGGCUCUGUAAGUCUCGAUUAAGGAAUCUAAGCAUAACUUAGAAGUUACUCUUGAUACUGCUGGGCUUGAGGUCGAAAGAGGUGAGUCAUAUUCUUGAAGUAAAAGUAAAAUCUUUAGAUAUCAAGAGGAUGACCAAGUGGUUAAUGCGACUUUCUGGUUCGACGCUGACGCUGAGGUACGAAGGCAUGGGUAUCAAACGGG
rnacentral:rRNA from 1 species